AGUAUAAGCAAUUAUACCGCGAAACUGCGAAUGGCUCAUUAAAUCAGUUAUCGUUUAUUUGAUAGUUCCCUACUACUUGGAUAACCGUGGUAAUUCUAGAGCUAAUACAUGCAAAAAACCGCGACUUCGGAAGCGGUGUAUUUAUUAGAUUAAAGACCAAUGCCCUUCGGGGCUGCCUGGUGAUUCAUGAUAACUUCUCGAAUCGCACGGCCUUGCGCCGGCGAUGGUUCAUUCAAAUUUCUGCCCUAUCAACUUUCGACUUUAGCGUAGUGGGCUAAAGUGGUUACAACGGGUAACGGAGGGUUAGGGCUCGACCCCGGAGAAGGAGCCUGAGAGACGGCUACUACAUCCAAGGAAGGCAGCAGGCGCGCAAAUUACCCAAUCCCGACACGGGGAGGUAGUGACAAUAAAUACUGAUACAGGGCUCUUUUGGGUCUUGUAAUUGGAAUGAGUACAAUUUAAAUCCCUUAACGAGGAACAAUUGGAGGGCAAGUCUGGUGCCAGCAGCCGCGGUAAUUCCAGCUCCAAUAGCGUAUAUUAAAGUUGUUGUGGUUAAAAAGCUCGUAGUUGAACCUGGGCCUCGCGCAGACCGGUCCGCCUCACCGCGUGCACUGGUCCUGCCGGGGCUUUCACUAGGGGAUUCGCAUGCCCUUCACUGGGCGUGCGCGGAACCUGGACCUUUACUGUGAAAAAAUUAGAGUGUUCAAAGCAGGCCUAUGCUCGAAUACAUUAGCAUGGAAUAAUAGAAUAGGACGUGUGGUUCUAUUUUGUUGGUUAUGGGACCGCCGUAAUGAUUAAUAGGGACAGUCGGGGGCAUCAGUAUUCAAUUGUCAGAGGUGAAAUUCUUGGAUUUAUUGAAGACUAACUACUGCGAAAGCAUUUGCCAAGGAUGUUUUCAUUAAUCAGGAACGAAAGUUAGGGGAUCGAAGACGAUCAGAUACCGUCGUAGUCUUAACCAUAAACUAUGCCGACUAGGGAUCGGGCGAUGUUACUUUUUGACUCGCUCGGCACCUUACGAGAAAUCAAAGUUUGUGGGUUCCUGGGGGAGUAUGGUGGCAACGCUGAAACUUAAAGAAAUUGACGGAAGGG
rnacentral:rRNA from 1 species